UCAGUGCAUUGCUCCUCUUCCUUGUAG
rnacentral:piRNA from 1 species